UUUUUUUUUUCUUUUUUUGGCCAUAUGGAACUUCCCAGGCAAGGGAUUUAAUCUGAGCUGCACCUGCAACCUAUGCCACAGCUGCAGCAAUGCCAGAUCCUUAACCUGAUGCACCACAGUGGGAAUUCUUCAAAACCACAUGAUUAUUUCAACUGGGGUAGAAGAGGCAUUUUACAAAAUCCACCAUCAUUCUAUGAUAAAAACUCCUAGAAAAGUAGGAAUAAAGAGACUAUUUCUCAACGUGAUAAAGGGUAUUUAUGAAAAACCCACAGCUAAUAUCAUACUCAAAGAGAGAAAGCUUUCCCCUUAAAAUCAGGAACAUGACAAGGAUGCCUGCUUUUAUUGCUGCCGUUAAACACUGUACUUUAGGUUCUAGCCAGAGCAAAUACUGCUGACCUUUGAGUAAUGAGGGGUUAGGGACACCAGCCCUCUGAGCAGUCAGAAACCCACACACAACUUUACAGCUGGCCCCUCGUAUCCGACCUUCUGAAUCUGCUUGUUGCCAUUGUAUCUCUUUUUUGUGUUUUUCCCCUCUUGCCCUGGUGCUACAAGCCAGGUCUCCCUUUGGCACUGGGCCUUCGUUUCUGUCUCCCCUCUACUCCAGCUCAGGUGGAACAACUCCUUGCCCCCACCCUGGCUCCCUUGAGAUUGUAGAAUUUGGAUUCUGAGGUUUCCAGAGCCAUCCUCCUCCUUAGAGCAUCUACUUAACCCGAUGAGUUGGCAAUGCAACAGGUGCUCACAUGCAGGUCUUGUCCCAGAGUCAUAGGAUGCCCGCCCAAUAUUUGAGACAAAGGCUUGUCAGUUUGGCUGGGUAAAGGGAUUCUGGUGGGAGCAGGGACCUGGUUGACCUUCCGCAGAGGGGGAGUCAGAGGAAACAGAUCAGUUUGAUGAGUUCCUUCUCAGGGUCAGGAGCCGAACCUGUAUGAUAUCCCAGAGCUAAAACCUCUGAUUCUGAUGAUUCCAGUCCAAAGCAGAUUUGCAGUGUAAAUUCAUUGAACUUAAAAACAUUCAGAGGCAAAAGAUCACAUGUUACAUAAUGUACAGAAAACAUCCAGACUAGCCAAAUCUAUGGAGACAAAAAAAUCGACUAGUGGUGGUUUAGGGCUGGGUGGGAGGGAGAGAAGGGUACAGAGUUUCUUUCUGAGAUGACAACAGUGUUCUAAAAUGGAUUAUAAUGAUGGCCACCCAUAUCCGUGAAUAUACGAAAAGCCACUGAAUGGCACACUUUAAAUGGAUGAACUAUAUACAUGUGUGUUAUAUCUCGAAAAAGCUUUUUUUUUUUUUUUUCUGAAAAAACUCUUUAAAAAAAUAAAUCUUGGAGUUCCCGUCGUGGCGAAGCAGAAACGAAUCUGACUAGGAACUAUGAGGUAGCGGGUUCAAUCCCCAGCCUUGCUCAGUGGGUUAAGGAUCUGGCGUUGCCAUGAGCUGUGGUGUAGGUGGCAGACGCAGCUCAGAUCUGGCGUUGCUGUGGCGGGGGCGUAGGCUGGCAGCUGUAGCUCCGAUUAGACCCCUAGCCUGGGGAACCUCCAUAUGCCAUGGGUGUGGCCCUAAAAAGCAAUAAAUAAAUAAAUAAAUAAACCUUAAGAUGCUCUUUGAUAUGAAAUAAUCAAUCAGGACCUACUAUAUAGCACAGAGAACUAUACUCAAUAUCUUGUAAUAACCUACGUGAGAAAAUAAACUGAAAAAUAAUCGCCAUGCUGUACACCUGAAAGGAACACAACAUUGUAAUUCCGGACUGUACCUCAAUAAAAAAAUUGGUAUGGAAAGAUUGGAUUGAUGUGAAGGAAUGUAUGUGAGUUUAUAUAGAGAAUAACGAACUCUAGUUUGCAUUUCUGUCCAAAAAAAAAAAAAAAAAAAAGAAAGAAAGAGAGAAAGAAAAACGUGCUCUCUUUGCUGAAUCCAAUAGGAGAAUGUAGACUGUUUUCAGCAACGUGAACAUCAGCAUUCCAUAAAAUGUCCCUGUCACUCGGGCAGUUGCUGUGAGGGGCCCUGGAGGAAUCCUGCAGAGGGACGGCAUUGGUAUGGAGCUCAGUCUCCUUGGAAAGAACAGGAAGGGGCUCUGGGUUGACAAACAGCAGAGAAAAAAACCAGCUCCAGUUCAUGCUGACCACAGUCAGAGACGUGAUCAAGGGUGUUCCACGGGCUUCCAUUACAGGAGUGUGUCUGUGUGUGCUCACUUCCCCAACCGUGUCUGUAUUCAGGAGAACAGGUCUCUUGAAAUCUGAAGUUUCUUGGAUGAAAAAUCUGCAGGGUUCAUACAAGGCCAGGCAUUGCUUAUGCAGUAUCUCAAGACCGGAGAGUGAUCUGCAUUGACCCUGCAUCAAAUUCAGCUGCUUUGACUCAGCAAGCCAUAGGUAAAAACAAGGAAAUCAGAAAAAAUUGGGAUGUUAUCCAUAUCUCUGAGAAAUCAGCAGUCUGAGGAGUAAGACCUAAGAGACGCCUCGCUAUGGAAAGAAGAAGAUACCAAAUGAUCCCCAAGACUAAUUUGUGGUAUCUUUAAAAUGCACUGAAAUUUGUCUAUUGGAAAAAAAAAAAAGGGAACUCUCACAUGUGUGCUCUGAUCAGCUGAGUGUCCUUGUGACGAGCUUAUGAUGCUCAAGCUUUUGUGUCCCUCACGUCUUUGCAAGGACAUUUUGCAUUGAUGCACCCCGCCACCAGGGGGAGCUUAUUCUAUUAUUCUCUGUCCGGGACAUCAGAAACUGUCAAGAAUCCCUUAGCAGAGUGCCUGCUCCUGGAGGCUGCUGUUACUAUUGCCAUCACGUGGUAGGAACCCAGUGGGCACCCCCCACACACACAGUCUCCCCUACCGGGUCGCCAAGUGAUCCUCUGUAUGCUCUCCCCUCGGACUGAGGUCCCCUAUCACUGUGGUUAUAAAAGGGGUCACCAUGUGGCUCAGGCCAAGCAGCCAGGCCUUCAGUUCAGGGCCCUGACUAUAAAUGUGGUGACAGCUGCUAUCCCAGGAGGAAGUUCUGUCCCAGUGAGGAAACAAAAGAGCUGACAUCUGAGCCAAGCUUAGAAAAAUAACCCAGGAACUAUGCGGCCUCCAAGACAAGCCUGGGAAGGUUGUUUCUGGGGCCAAGGAGCAAGGAGACCAGUAGAAAGGCACUGUGGGGUGGAGGAGAUGCAGAGAAAAGUCGCUCAGGACAGAUUUACAGCCAAACAGCAUCGUGACCCAUGCUUCAAAGAGAAAAGACCCAGAAAGUUGCAGGUGAGAUAAAAAUAAGGGAGACCUCUUUGUGAACCAUACAUAAGCAGAGGUGGUGGAAGAGGAGACACGUAGGCUGGGCAGCUUCCGAGGGGUGGCUGGGAGGAAGAACGCCCUGUGUACAGACCCCGAGUGGAAAGUAGCAUAAUGUCUUUUCUUUUCUUUUUUUGUCUUUUUGUCUUUUCUAGGGCUGCACCUGCGCGGCAUAUGGAGGUUCCCAGGCUAGGGGUCCAACCGGAGCUGUAGCCGCUGGCCUACACCAGAGCCACAGCAACUGGGGGUCCGAGCUGUGUCUGCAACCUACACCACAGCUCACAGCAACACCGGAUCCUUAACCCACUGAGCGAGGCCAGGGAUCGAACCUGCAACCUCCUGGUUCCUAGUCGGAGUCAUUAACCACUGAGCCAUGACGGGAACUCCUGUAAUGUCUUUUCUAUCAAAGGAAGUCUUUUGGUUAUUCCAUUUUGUUCCGGUUUUGGCUGAAACGCCUUCCUGCGACCCCACCUCCUCUUUCCCUCUUCUCCCAGUAACAGUUCGUUUCAAAUUAGCCCACUGAGAAGAAUGUGCACCCUGACCUGACCCAUGGGAAGGGGACAGGGACAUCACCUGCGUUAGGAAUAAACUGGGGAGGGUCCUUGGUUCAGCGCGCGUGCUUUUUGAGUGCCCGUGUCCUUCUGCAGAAGUAAAGAGCCUUGUCGAGAUCUCCCCGUGUUCAUGUGUCUCAUUUGCGACACUGACCAUCCGAGCCAUGUCCCCAACACCGGGCAGAAUGCUCGGCCACAGCAAAGCGCCACGCACCGACCCCCUGGUCCAGCAGCUCCAUCCCUAGGACCCACCCGGGGAAAACCUCACCUGUGAGCACAAGGUCAGAAGGCCUGUGAGCAAUGUGCUGAUGGGAAAGUGAAAAAUGGGAACAACCUCAACGCUCAACAGGAAAAGGGCGAAAUCACCAGGGGUGCCUCUACACCACAGGACACGCUCCAGCCAUGCGAGUGGAUGGACCAGGGUGGCGUGUGUCUGCAUGGCCAGAUCUGGCCAAGGCGCGUGCCUGCUGUGUGUGUAGGGGGGGAGUCGGAUCCUCUCCCAGGAAGGGCACUGAUGGCAGGGCUUUGUUAUUCAGCCAGCCACAGACGUUCUGGAAAGGAAAUGGAUGCAGUCACCUCAGAUCGUGAGAAGUGUCAGGGACAAAUCAGAGAGAGGAAGAAGGUGUUGAUUUAUAUCAGGUGUAUUGGAGCCAACCCGUUUCUGACCCUCAUUCCUCUGGCUUAGAAUUCUCUUCUGCAGCCUUCCUUUCCAUAAGGUGGGUUUUGAGGUUCCAGGACCUUUCUUUUCUAAUGGAAAGCGGGUAUUUUCUUGAGAAUGUUGCAAGAAAAAAGGAAUCUCAGGAAUUUCCUCUUUCCACAGAGGGUAGGCACCAUUCCACGUCAUAAAAUUGCUUCAAAGACUCUUAUCUGAACAAAGUGUGGAAGUGAGAAUAUUUCUGCAAGUUCUGCCCAGAAUUGAAACGUGUUCUGUUUUUCUGUUACUGAAAACUGUCCUUGGGAAUGAGAUACUGACCCAGGCAAUCACAAGGAGAAUCUCAAAAACAUGGAGAAUGGGAGAAACUAGACACAGAAAAGCAUCCUGUACCAUUUUAUUUAUGCGAAACUCUAGAAAAGCCAAAUCAAAUCUAUGAUGACACGAUGUAGAUCAGUAGUUACUUGGGGCCAG
rnacentral:lncRNA from 1 species